rnacentral:rRNA from 1 species
AUGAAUACAAAUGGGCAUUUUAGUGAUUUAUUAUGGAUGCCUCACAGCCAACAUAAAAUAUCCAAAUCUUGGGAAAAUCCUAAUGUUUCCUUGAACGUACGGUGUCAUCAUGUUGGCAUCCCAUUUGAUCCUCUAUGUAGGCCAGCUUUAGAGAACCUUGGUUUUUAUCAGAUUGCAAUGAUGAGGAAAAUCAAUGUCGACAAAUACUUGAUAUCAGCGUUGGUGGAACGUUGGCGGCCCAAGACAAAUAGUUUUCACUUACCUGUAGGAGAAAUGACUAUUACACUGCAAGACGUCAGUUGUUUGUGGGGGCUGCCUAUCCAUGGUAAACCACUUGUUGGCAUAGCUGAUGCGCCAUGGUCGGAAUUAGUUGAGAGGUUGCUUGGGAUUCCCAUGGAUGAACAACACAUGAAACAAAAGAAAAGGAGAAAAAGUGAUGAUAAUAUUGUUGUGAGGGAUUCACAAUACUCUCUAAAUUUGGGAAAACUACGAGAACGCUUCCAUGUGUUGCCGGAUAAUCCAAUGGAUAGGGAUAUUAAUUGGCAUGCUCGAGCACUUGUUCUAGGAAUCCUUGGCUCCAUAGUCCUUACGGAUACAUCUGGAGAUGGAGUGCCAGCUAUGUAUCUCCAAUUUAUGCAAAUUUUAGGACAGCCAACAGAGUAUAAUUGGGGAGUAGCUACUCUUGCUCUGUUGUAUAGACAAUUGAGCAUGUGUGCUGAGAAGGAGAGACUAGAAAUUUCAGGGCCUUUAUUGCUACUACAAUUAUGGUCUUGGUCCCGUUUGCCACUUGGUCGUCCUAAAGUUAUUUUUGAGAAGCCUAAAGAAGGAGAGGAACCUGAAGAAGAGGAAGAUGAAGAAGUACAUUUGGAUUAUAACCCUGUUUUUUGA